GGCUACACACGUGCUACAAUGGGUAGAACAGAGAGUUGCAAAGCUGUGAAGCGGAGCUAAUCUCAGAAAACUAUUCUUAGUUCGGAUUGUACUCUGCAACUCGAGUACAUGAAGUUGGAAUCGCUAGUAAUCGCGAAUCAGCAAUGUCGCGGUGAAUACGUUCUCGGGUCUUGUACACACCGCCCGUCACACCACGAGAGUUGGUUGCACCUGAAGUAGCAGGCCUAACCGUAAGGAGGGAUGCUCCGAGGGUGUGAUUAGCGAUUGGGGUGAAGUCGUAACAAGGUAUCCGUACGGGAACGU
rnacentral:rRNA from 1 species